UAAGCAGGAGAGUGUAUUUGUCUGUAAACAAAUACCACCGAAGGCGCAAUGGCACCCGCGAAUCGCUCAGGUAGAAGGACUGCUU
rnacentral:ncRNA from 1 species